GACGAACGCUGGCGGCGUGCUUAACACAUGCAAGUCGAACGGAAAGGCCCUGCUUUUGUGGGGUGCUCGAGUGGCGAACGGGUGAGUAACACGUGAGUAACCUGCCCUUGACUUUGGGAUAACUUCAGGAAACUGGGGCUAAUACCGGAUAGGAGCUCCUGCUGCAUGGUGGGGGUUGGAAAGUUUCGGCGGUUGGGGAUGGACUCGCGGCUUAUCAGCUUGUUGGUGGGGUAGUGGCUUACCAAGGCUUUGACGGGUAGCCGGCCUGAGAGGGUGACCGGCCACCUUGGGCCUGAGAUACGGCCCAGACUCCUACGGGAGGCAGCAGUGGGGAAUAUUGCACAAUGGGCGGAAGCCUGAUGCAGCAACGCCGCGUGCGUGAUGACGGCCUUCGGGUUGUAAACCGCUUUCGCCUGUGACGAAGCGUGAGUGACGGUAAUGGGUAAAGAAGCACCGGCUAACUACGUG
rnacentral:rRNA from 1 species